rnacentral:rRNA from 1 species
UACGGAGGAUCCGAGCGUUAUCCGGAUUUAUUGGGUUUAAAGGGUGCGCAGGCGGAAGAUUAAGUCGGUGGUGAAAUUUUGCAGCUCAACUGUAAAAGUGCCAUUGAUACUGGUUUCCUUGAGUGUGGAUGAAGUAGGCGGAAUUUGUGGUGUAGCGGUGAAAUGCAUAGAUAUCACGAGGAACUCCGAUUGCGCAGGCAGCUUACUAAACCAUAACUGACGCUCAGGCACGAAGGCGUGGGGAUCAAACAGGAUUAGAUACCCCGGUA